AAUGGCUUCCCCCUGUCUCUUCGGACUUUCACAUGUAAGUGUUUGCGAGUUUUUUGACAAACACACCAAAAGUCAUUCUCGUCAAAUACAGCGGACUCGCCUAAAUUUGAAUGAAGCUGCCAGUGAUAUCUUGAGCUAUGAGGACUCCAAGGAUCAUUCCAUCCAGCUGAUGGACUAUCAAAGACGUCUAAAUCUUGAAUCAACCGAUUAGGACUUU